UACAAGCGGUGGAGCAUGUGGUUUAAUUCGAAGCAACGCGAAGAACCUUACCAGGUCUUGACAUACUAUGCAAAUCUAAGAGAUUAGACGUUCCCUUCGGGGACAUGGAUACAGGUGGUGCAUGGUUGUCGUCAGCUCGUGUCGUGAGAUGUUGGGUUAAGUCCCGCAACGAGCGCAACCCUUAUUAUCAGUUGCCAGCAUUCAGUUGGGCACUCUGGUGAGACUGCCGGUGACAAACCGGAGGAAGGUGGGGACGACGUCAAAUCAUCAUGCCCCUUAUGACCUGGGCU
rnacentral:rRNA from 1 species